rnacentral:rRNA from 1 species
GAUGAACGCUAGCUACAGGCUUAACACAUGCAAGUCGAGGGGAAACGACAUCGAAAGCUUGCUUUUGAUGGGCGUCGACCGGCGCACGGGUGAGUAACGCGUAUCCAACCUGCCCACCACUUGGGGAUAACCUUGCGAAAGUAAGACUAAUACCCAAUGACGUCUCUAGAAGACAUCUGAAAGGGAUUAAAGAUUUAUCGGUGAUGGAUGGGGAUGCGUCUGAUUAGCUUGUUGGCGGGGUAACGGCCCACCAAGGCAACGAUCAGUAGGGGUUCUGAGAGGAAGGUCCCCCACAUUGGAACUGAGACACGGUCCAAACUCCUACGGGAGGCAGCAGUGAGGAAUAUUGGUCAAUGGGCGAGAGCCUGAACUAGCCAAGUAGCGUGCAGGACGACGGCCCUAUGGGUUGUAAACUGCUUUUAUAAGGGAAUAAAGUGAGUCUCGUGAGGCUUUUUGCAUGUACCUUAUGAAUAAGGACCGGCUAAUUCCGUG